GACCUGCAACGCGUGCGGGGUGAUUCCAAUUGGGUCUGCGAUGAGAAUGGACGGGAGUUUAGAGUUUCGGCACGGUGUGCAAGCCUUCUGCGGGAAGGAAGCCUGAAGUGCUGAACAGACACCCACUUUGAACUGCCGGACCACAACGAUUCGCCCCGCACCGUUGCAGCUUU
rnacentral:other from 1 species